ensembl:lncRNA
CUACAGCCAGAGGACAGGUACAUUAUUACUCCACACAGAACUACAGCCAGAGGACAGGUACAUUACUACUCCACACUGAACUACAGCCAGAGGACAGGUACUGUACAUUACUACUCCACACUGAACUCCAGCCAGAGGACAGGUACAUUACUACUCCACACUGAACUACAGAAAGAGGACAGGUACAUUACUACUCCACACUGAACUACAGCCAGAGGACAGGUACAUUACUACUCCACACUGAACUACAGAAAGAGGACAGGUACAUUACUACUCCACACUGAACUACAGCCAGAGGACAGGUACAUUAUUACUCCACACUGAACUACAGCCAGAGGACAGGUACUGUACAUUACUACUCCACACUGAACUCCAGCCAGAGGACAGGUACAUUACUACUCCACACUGAACUACAGCCAGAGGACAGGUACAUUACUACUCCACACUGAACUACAGCCAGAGGACAG